UACGUAGGGUGCAAGCGUUAAUCGGAAUUACUGGGCGUAAAGCGUGCGCAGGCGGUUCGCUAAGACAGAUGUGAAAUCCCCGGGCUUAACCUGGGAACUGCAUUUGUGACUGGCGGGCUAGAGUAUGGCAGGAGGGGGGUAGAAUUCCGACGUGUAGCAGUGAAAUGCGUAGAGAUGUGGAGGAAUACCGAUGGCGAAGGCAGCCCCCUGGGCCAAUACUGACGCUCAUGCACGAAAGCGUGGGGAGCAAACAGG
rnacentral:rRNA from 1 species